CCUACGGGCGGCAGCAGUGGGGAAUAUUGGACAAUGGGGGCAACCCUGAUCCAGCCAUGCCGCGUGUGUGAAGAAGGCCCUCGGGUUGUAAAGCACUUUCAGUGAGGAAGAACGCCUGGUGGUUAAUACCCAUCAGGAAAGACAUCACUCACAGAAGAAGCACCGGCUAACUCCGUGCCAGCAGCCGCGGUAAUACGGAGGGUGCGAGCGUUAAUCGGAAUUACUGGGCUAAAGUGCGCGUAGGUGGCUUGAUAAGCCGGUUGUGAAAGCCCCGGGCUCAACCUGGGAACGGCAUCCGGAACUGUUAAGCUACAGUGCAGGAGAGGAAGGUAGAAUUCCCGGUGUAGCGGGGAAAAGCGUUGAGAUCGGGAGGAAUAACAGUGGCGAAGGCGGCCUUCUGGACUGACACUGACACUGAGGUGCGAAAGCGUGGGUAGCAAACAGGAAUAGAUACCCCAGUAGGA
rnacentral:rRNA from 1 species